AAAGUUGAAAAGAACUUUGAAGAGAGAGUUCAAGAGUACGUGAAACCGUUCAGGGGUAAACCUGAGAAACCCAAAAGAUCGAAUGGGGAGAUUCAUCGUCAGCUCAUUUUGUAUAUAUAUAUGUUGCGAUGUGAGUUACUACUUUGUAGUAUUGCUUGCACGUUCUUAUAUAUUUAAUUGCAAGAUGUUGUCGGCGUGCACUUCUCUCCUAGUAGGACGUCGCGACCCGUUGGAUGUCGGUUUACGGCUCAAGUGAUAGUCUUUAAUGUAAUUUAAAAAUCAUUUAAGAUCCUUGAUGUUUUCUAACCGGCUAUUCGGCGGUAUUAAUUAUGGUAUUUAGCCGCUAUAUAUAAAUAAUAAGCGUUCAUAACCGUCACAAGCGAGGCCAAUUUUUUUAUUACUGAUAGUAUGGACCUAGUUGCCAUCGUUAGUAUUGGCCAGCUGUUGGUUGUAUGGUUAUCUAGAACUGGCUAAAAUAAAUUACCGAUCAGCGAUGCUACUGCUUUGGGUACUUUCAGGACCCGUCUUGAAACACGGACCAAGGAGUCUAACAUGUACGCAAGUCAUUGGGAUUUUUUUUUAAAAAUUAAACCUAAAGGCAUAAUGAAAGUAAAGAUUGUCCUUGCGUCAAUCUAGGGAGGAUGAAUUAUAUUAUGAUAUUAUUCCGCACUCCCGGGGCGUCUCAUUCUUAUUAUAAGAAGAGGCGCACCUAGAGCGUACAC
rnacentral:rRNA from 1 species